GACGAACGCUGGCGGCGUGCUUAACACAUGCAAGUCGAACGGAAAGACCCUGCUUUUGUGGCGUGCUCGAUUGGCGAGCGGGUGUGUAACACGUGUGUAACCUGCCCCUGUCUUUCGGAUAAAUUUACGGAACUGCGGCUCAUACCGCGUAGGAUCUCCUGCUGCAUGGUGUUCGUUGGUAAGUUUCGGCGGUUGGGGAUGGAUUGGCGGCUUCUCAGCUUGUUUGUCGGGUAGUGGAUUACCCAGCCUUUGACGGCUAGGCGGCCUGGGCGGGUUGACGGCGACAAGGGGACUGCGGGACGGACCAGACGCGUACGGGAGGCAGCAGUCGGGAAUAUGGCACAGUGGGCGGAAGCCUGAGGCAGCAGCGCCGCGUGCGUGAUGACGUCCUUCGGGUUGUAAACCGCUUUCGCCUGUGACGAAGCGGUAGUGACGGUAAUGGGUAAAGAAGCACCGGCUAACUACGUG
rnacentral:rRNA from 1 species